rnacentral:rRNA from 1 species
AUUGAACGCUGGCGGCAUGCCUUACACAUGCAAGUCGAACGGCAGCACGGGGCAACCUGGUGGCGAGUGGCGAACGGGUGAGUAAUGCAUCGGAACGUACCUUUCAGUGGGGGAUAACGUAGCGAAAGUUACGCUAAUACCGCAUAUUCUGUGAGCAGGAAAGCAGGGGAUCGCAAGACCUUGCGCUGAUUGAGCGGCCGAUGUCAGAUUAGCUAGUUGGUGAGGUAAAGGCUCACCAAGGCGACGAUCUGUAGCGGGUCUGAGAGGAUGAUACGCCACACUGGAUGUGAGACACGGUCCAGACUCCUACGGGAGGCAGCAGUGGGGAAUUUUGGACAAUGGGGGCAACCCUGAUCCAGCCAUGCCGCGUGAGUGAAGAAGGCCUUCGGGUUGUAAAGCUCUUUCGGCCGGGAAGAAAUCGCACGGGCUAAUACCCUGUGUGGAUGACGGUACCGGAAUAAGAAGCACCGGCUAACUACGUGCCAGCCGCCGCGGUAACAC